rnacentral:rRNA from 1 species
CAGCAGCCGCGGUAAUACGUAGGUGGCAAGCGUUGUCCGGAAUUAUUGGGCGUAAAGGGCUCGCAGGCGGUUUCUUAAGUCUGAUGUGAAAGCCCCCGGCUCAACCGGGGAGGGUCAUUGGAAACUGGGAAACUUGAGUGCAGAAGAGGAGAGUGGAAUUCCACGUGUAGCGGUGAAAUGCGUAGAGAUGUGGAGGAACACCAGUGGCGAGGGCGACUCUCUGGUCUGUAACUGACGCUGAGGAGCGAAAGCGUGGGGAGCGAACAGGAUUAGAUACCCCUGUAGUCCCUGUCUCUUAUAC